rnacentral:rRNA from 1 species
UACGGAGGAUCCGAGCGUUAUCCGGAUUUAUUGGGUUUAAAGGGUGCGUAGGCAGCCUUGUAAGUCAGGGGUGAAAGACGGUAGCUUAACUAUCGCAGUGCCUUUGAUACUGCAGGGCUUGAAUGUACUUGAGGUAGGCGGAAUGUGACAAGUAGCGGUGAAAUGCAUAGAUAUGUCACAGAACACCAAUUGCGAAGGCAGCUUACUAAAGUAUGAUUGACGCUGAGGCACGAAAGCGUGGGGAUCAAACAGG